AACUGAUACUACCUGCGGGAACCUGCGGAAGGAUCAUUACAACAAGGUUCCCUGGCCCUCGAAGCUUCGGCGGAGGGGUGCUACAGCCUGACUUUAUACCCACCCUUUGCCUAUGUGUACCCCUAUUGCUUCCCUCGGCGGGUUCGCCCGCCGACAGGAACCAACUAAACCCUUUGCAUUAUACAUUUAACACUUCCGAUACAAAACUAAAUUAUUACAACUUUCAACAACGGAUCUCUA
rnacentral:misc_RNA from 1 species